rnacentral:rRNA from 1 species
GACGAACGCUGGCGGCGUGCUUAACACAUGCAAGUCGAACGGCAAGGCCCUGCUUUUGUGGGGUGCUCGAGUGGCGAACGCGUGAGUAACACGUGAGUAACCUGCCCUUGACUUUGGGAUAACUUCAGGAAACUGGGGCUAAUCCCGGAUCGGAGCUCCUGCUGCAUGGUGGGGGUUGGAAAGUUUCGGCUGUUGGGGAUGGACUCGCGGGUUAUGAGCUUGUUGGUGGGGUAGUGGCUUACCAAGGCUUUGACCGGUAGCCGGCAUGAGAGGGUGACCGGCGACAUGGGUACUGAGAGACGGCCCAGAGGGGUACGGGAGACAGAAGUGGGAAACAUGGCACAAUGGGAGGAAGCCUGAGGAGGAAGCGCCGCGUGCGUGAUGACGGCCUGCGGGGAGUGAACCGCUGUCGCCUAUGACGAAGCGGGAGUGACGGUAAUGGGUGAAGAAGCACCGGCUAACUACGUG